AGUGAACGCUGGCGGUAGGCCUAACACAUGCAAGUCGAACGGCAGCACAGUAAGAGCUUGCUCUUACGGGUGGCGAGUGGCGGACGGGUGAGGAAUACAUCGUAAUCUACUUUUUCGUGGGGGAUAACGUAGGGAAACUUACGCUAAUACCGCAUACGACCUACGGUUGAAAGCAGGGGAACUUCGGACCUUGCGCGAUUGAAUGAGCCGAUGUCGGAUUAGCUAGUUGGCGGGGUAAAUGCCCACCAAGGCGACGAUCCGUAGCUGGUCUGAGAGGAUGAUCAGCCACACUGGAACUGAGACACGGUCCAGACUCCUACGGGAGGCAGCAGUGGGGUAUAUUAGACAAUGGGCGCAAGCCUGAUCCAGCCAUACCGCGUGGGUGAAGAAGGCCUUCGGGUUGUAAAGCCCUUUUGUUGGGAAAGAAAAGCAGCAGGUUAAUACCCCGCUGUUCUGACGGUACCCAAAGAAUAAGCACCGGCUAACUUCGUG
rnacentral:rRNA from 1 species